CCUACGGGUGUCAGCAGUGGGGAAUAUUGGGCAAUGGGCGCAAGCCUGACCCAGCAACGCCGCGUGAAGGAAGAAGGCUUUCGGGUUGUAAACUUCUUUUGAUAGGGAAGAGUAGAAGACGGUACCUGUCGAUUAAGCCCCGGCUAACAACGUGCCAGCAGCCGCGGUAAUACGUAGGUGGCAAGCGUUUUCCGGAUUUACUGGGUUAAAGGGGCGUGUAGCCGGGUUGCCAAGUCUGAUGUGAAUUCUGCGGCUUAACCGCAGAACUGCAUUUGAAACUGUUGAGCUGGAGUACUGGAGAGGCAGACGGAAUUCCUAGUGUAGCGGUGAAAUGCGUAGAUAUCAGGAGGAACACCAGUGGCGAAGGCGGUCUGCUGGACAGCAACUGACGGUGAGGCGCGAAAGCGUGGGGAGCAAACAGGAUUAGAUACCCCAGUAGUC
rnacentral:rRNA from 1 species